AUUUGACAGUUUUGUCAAACAUUUGACAAGUGUUUACUAAUUUUGAAUUUGUCAAUAGAAUUUUAUUUUGCAAUUUGGAAGACUGACGUAUUAUUUACUAUAUGCCUUUUAAUUUAUAUUGAAUGUGUGAAAUACAGUUUAACUGGUAAUUGUGUUGAAUGUGUCGUUGCAAGCUAGUUUUUGUUUACUAUAGAUGAGUGCAGUUCUAUUCGCGUAGCGCCUGAAUAUCCUCAGCAGUCCAACAGCAUGGAGACACAGGCAGACUCCGAGCGCGAGCGCGCCCUGUUGGGGGUGGACAACAGUGCUGCUGAGGGUGACGGAGACAGGGGGCGCUACAGUAUGAUGGUGCGCUGCGCGUCGCAGUCGUCGCUGGACGAGUGCUCGCAGCGCGCGGCGGGCGCGGGCGCGGGCCCGAGCGGCG